rnacentral:rRNA from 1 species
GAAUUUUGGACAAGGGGCGAAAGCCUGAUCCAGCAAUGCCGCGUGCAGGAUGAAGGCCUUCGGGUUGUAAACUGCUCUUGUACGGAACGAAAAGCUUUGGGGUAAUACCCUGGAGUCAUGACGGUACCGUAAGAAUAAGCACCGGUCACCUACGUGACACCAGCCACGGUAAUACGUAGGGUACAAGCGUUAAUCGGAAUUACGGGGCGUAAAGCGUGCGCAGGCGGUUUUGUAAGACAGAGGUAAAAUCCCCGGGCUCAACCUGGGAACUGCCUUUGUGACUGCAAGGCUAGAGUACGGCAGAGGGGGGUGGAAUUCCGCGUGCAGCAGUGAAAUGCGUAGAUAUGCGGAGGAACACCGAUGGCGAAGGCAACCCCCUGGGCCUGUACUGACGCUCAUGCACGAAAGCGUGGGGAGCAAACA